UUUACUUUUCCCUCAAAACUUUUACUCCUUCCCACUUUCCCCCCAAAACCUUUACUCUCCUCCCCUCCCAACCCCCCAAUCUACCUAAAAUCCAUUUCCCACCAAAAUUUUACUCUCCCAUUUAUUUUUUCUCAAAAUUUUACUCCCAAAAACCCUCAAAACCUUUUAUUUUCGCCCAAAAUUUUUACCCCCUCCCACUUUUCCCCUAAAACUUUUAUUCACGUCCCAUCCCACCUCCCAUCUAUCCCAAACCCUCCCCCCUCCAAUUUUUUUUAAUAUUUUCCCUCCAAAAUUUUACUCCCCCUAUUUACUUUCCCUCAAACUUUUAUUCCCCAAAACUUUUUAUUUUUCCCCUAAACUUUUACUUAUCACCC
rnacentral:lncRNA from 1 species